rnacentral:rRNA from 1 species
AUUGAACGCUGGCGGUAGGCCUAACACAUGCAAGUCGAGCGAGCGGCGGACGGGUGAGUAAUGUCUGGGAAACUGCCUGAUGGAGGGGUAUAACUCCUGGAAACGGUCGCUAAUACCGCAUACCAUCAGAUGUGCCCAGCUGGGAUUAGCUAGUAGGUGGGGUAAUGGAUCACCUAGGCGACGCUCCCUAUCGGGUCUGCGAGGAUGACCAGCAACACUGGAAAUGAGACACGGGGCAGACGACGACGGGAGGCAGCAGUGGGGAAUAUUGGGCAAGGGGCGCAAGCCGGAUGCAGCGAUGCAGUGUGUGUGAAGAAGGCCUUCGGGGUGUAAAGCACUUUCAGCGAGGAGGCGUUCUCGCAGAAAAGCACCGGCUAACUCCGUGCCAGCAGCCGCGGUAAUUC